UACGGGGGGAGCAAGCGUUGUUCGGAUUUACUGGCGUAAAGGGCGCGUAGGCGGUCAGCACAAGUCAGUUGUGAAAUCUCCGGGCUUAACUCGGAAAGGUCAACUGAUACUGUGCGACUAGAGUGCGGAAGGGGCAACUUGGAAUUCUCGGUGUAGCGGUGAAAUGCGUAGAUAUCGAGAGGAACACCUGCGGCGAAGGCGGGUUGCUGGGCCCGACACUGACGCUGAUGCGCGAAAGCCAGGGGAGCGAACGGG
rnacentral:rRNA from 1 species